AAGUCGUAACAAGGUAACCGUAGGUGAACCUGCGGUUGGAUCAUUAACAAAUUUAAUGAGAAGGGUAAUGGUCUCACUCUCGGGUGGAUCACUAUCUUUUUUCAACCCCAAACCUUUUGCCAGUUCCCUUUUGGGGAGCUGUGUGAACUCUAAUGUUGUACCUCUUGUUCUUGGCGAGUUAAAACGAGCAUACACUGGAACUUUUUCAAUUUCCUAUGCCCGGUUCUCUAGCAAUUGCUAGAAUCCACUCGCCGAGAAACUUGCUAUUCUAAACUUUUUUCAAUACCUACUCGACAUUUAAACCUUUUGAAUCCAAUUUUCAAAAAUUUAAACAACUUUUGGCAACGGAUCUCUAGGCUCUU
rnacentral:misc_RNA from 1 species